rnacentral:rRNA from 1 species
AUUAAUAUCCCAUAAUAUCAUAAAAACACAUGUUUUAAUGAUUAAAGCUUCGGCGAUUAAGGAUGGGCAUACGUGGCAUUAGUUUGUUGGUGAGGUAACGGCUCACCAAGACUACGAUGCCUAGGGGGUCUGAGAGGAUGAUCCCCCACACUGGUACUGAGACACGGACCAGACUCCUACGGGAGGCAGCAGUGAGGAAUAUUGGUCAAUGGAGGCAACUCUGAACCAGCCAUGCCGCGUGCAGGAUGACUGUCCUAUGGAUUGUAAACUGCUUUUGUACGGGAAGAACUCCCCGAUCGUGAUCGGGGCUGACGGUACUGUACGAAUAAGCAUCGGCUAACUCCGUGCCAGCAGCCGCGGUAAUACGGAGGAUGCAAGCGUUAUCCGGAUUUAUUGGGUUUAAAGGGUGCGUAGGCGGAAUAAUAAGUCAGUGGUGAAAGCCUGCAGCUUAACUGUAGAAUUGCCAUUGAUACUGUUAUUCUUGAGUGUAGUUGAGGUGGGCGGAAUGUGUAAUGUAGCGGUGAAAUGCAUAGAUAUUACACAGAACACCAAUUGCGAAAGCAGCUCACUAAACUACUACUGACGCUCAGGCACGAAAGCGUGGGGAGCGAACAGGAUUAGAUACCCUGGUAGUCCACGCUGUAAACGAUGAUCACUCGCUGUUGGCGAUACACUGUCAGCGGCUGAGCGAAAGCGUUAAGUGAUCCACCUGGGAAGUACGUCCGCAAGGAUGAAACUCAAAGGAAUUGACGGGGGCCCGCACAAGCGGUGGAACAUGUGGUUUAAUUCGAUGAUACGCGAGGAACCUUACCUGGGCUUAAAUGCAAAACGACUUUCCGGGAAACCGGAAUUCCCUUCGGGGCGGAUUGCAAGGUGCUGCAUGGCUGUCGUCAGCUCGUGCCGUGAGGUGUCGGGUUAAGUCCCAUAACGAGCGCAACCCCUAUUGUUAGUUGCCAGCGGGUAAUGCCGGGGACUCUAGCAAAACUGCCAGUGUAAGCUGGAGGAAGGUGGGGAUGACGUCAAGUCAGCACGGCCCUUAUGUCCAGGGCCACACACGUGUUACAAUGGCCGGUACAAAGGGCAGCUACUACGCGAGUAGAUGCUAAUCUCUAAAGCCGGUCCCAGUUCGGAUCGGAGUCUGCAAUUCGACUUCGUGAAGGUGGAAUCGCUAGUAAUCGCGCAUCAGCCAUGGCGCGGUGAAUACGUUCCCGGGCCUUGUACACACUGCCCGUCAAGCCAUGGAAGCUGGGAGUACCUAAAGUCCGUAACCGUAAGGAGCGGCCUA